AGCAGCCGCGGUAAUUCCAGCUCCAAUAGCGUAUAUUAAAGUUGUUGCAGUUAAAAAGCUCGUAGUUGAAUUUCGGGAUCAAUAUAUCGGUCGUGCCUUGGUACGUACUGGUAUCAUUGGUUUCUCCUUUCUGACGAACCAUGAUGUCAUUAAUUUGGUGUUAUGGGAAGUUAGGACUGUUACUUUGAAAAAAUUAGAGUGUUUAAAGCAGGCUUUAGCUUGAAUACAUUAGCAUGGAAUAAUGAAAUAGGACGUUCGAACCUAUUUUGUUGGUUUCUAGGAUCAACGUAAUGAUUAAUAGGGAUAGUUGGGGGCAUUAGUAUUCAAUUGUCAGAGGUGAAAUUCUUGGAUUUAUUGAAGACUAACUACUGCGAAAGCAUUUGCCAAGGAUGUUUUCAUUAAUCAAGAACGAAAGUUAGGGGAUCGAAGACGAUCAGAUACCGUCGUAGUCUUAACCAUAAACUAUGCCGACUA
rnacentral:misc_RNA from 1 species